AUUCUCCGUCCCGGCGCAGGCAAAACCGAAAGUACACUCAGGCCAGCAAUCGGGAGCCCUCUAACAAGUCACUUCUCAUCUGCCUCGACAUUUCACUCAACCUUGAGCCGGAAGGCCCUCGAGGCUCGGAGCUGGGUCCCUGUACUGCCGCUCUCUUCCUGGACCCGUGUUUUCUGUCAGGCCGACGCAUAUCUUCAGCCUCCGCGUGAUUCAAACAAACCAUUAUGGCCCGGAAACUGGAGCUCCAGGUUACUGGUUUCUUAAGGCUAAUAAUGAGGAUUCAUCAGCCAGGCAGAGUGAAAUACCUUUGUGUGGAAUAAGGCUGGAAUGAUUCGGCUCCAGCUGCUGCCUGGUGACGGUCAGGCUCUGUGAGGCGUGCAGAUCUGCUGGCUCGGCGGAAGGAGGAAUCCGAAGUCUGACUCUCUUUGAUCAUGAUAGACGUGAUAUGCAGGAACCUUUGGCCUGCUGCCUCUCAGGGGAGAGAAGUAUGGGAUACGGACAUGGCGGAAAGGAAAUCACCACCCUAUGAACCCCAGUGGGGUGUUAGCCUGAUGUAUGCGUCAGAACUGCUCUAGACUGACAUCUAGUGGAGCACAAGGACCGGAAAUCGCCGUCGGUGGAGAAGGCCACCUCACACUCUGUGUGUCUCCACAGCAGGCUGGAGUAGAUUAUGCUAAAGCCUGAGUGGAGUCUUCUGGAUCCCCCAUUGGGUCGGGAUAUUGCACUCUUCCGGGGGGGGGGGGGGGGGUUGCCCGCAUAUAGCCUCUAGCUGGGAACAAAAACACUGCAGGAAGUGCAUCGUACAGCAUGCAUGUGAAGGACCAGCUCAAGGAGAAGUUCUACCAUUGCGUUCAGCAUCCAGACAAUAGCUCCUCCCCUCCCACUCAGAGUCAAGCUCCAGUCCCAGCAUUAAAGUCAUUCUAAAGUGUCGAGAUAAUGGAAGAUCCUGAAAGUCCAAGCUGAUGUUUCUUUCUCUGGGUUGAAUUUUGAUUAGUCUCAGUGUGGCAUAGAGGGAGCCCUGCUGUUAUUGUUUUAGGCAAAGAAAGGCAGAGCCCUACUGAGCUACUGAAUAGAUCAAACGGCAGUUCCCUCGGUAAUACUGCAGUCUCCCGGUGAUUCAUGAAUAUAUUUUCGACGCUAAGACUCAGGGGGUGGGACGACAAAACGCAGCAAAUGUACCGGACAUGGAGAAUCCAGAAUACAAGCUGAGAACAUUAUCUUUGGGGAGGCGUGGGUUACGCCCACCUUCUGGAAGGGAGUUUCUGUUCUGCCUUGAAACAUUUUUAAC